AAUCCCCAAACCGAGAAGGAAGAGAAGAAACAGUCGUCGCUUUCCUCUGAAACCUGUAACUACCGUCAUCACCUCUCCCCUUCGGCGUGAGAUCGUGGGCUCCUCUCCCCUCCGGCAUGCUACCGUGACAAGGUAUUUCCUUUAAUGGCUUGCCAUCUUAGAUCUAUCUCUCUCUGGUUCGUCGCCAUUGCCAUCUCAAGGGGGUUCGUCCCUUGGCUUCAUCUCUGAGUUGAUCUUCACUGAACACACGAUCGAAGGGGUUUCCCUGAUUUUUCAUCCCUUUGCUACCUGUUAGACGGUCGAAGAAGGAAGAAACUCAAAAUUUUAAGAAGCCCUCUUCCUUUCCAGUCGACUGAAACUCAAAAUUUCAUCUUAGGUUUGGUGGUUUUUUGUUCUCUUUUUCGUUUACUUACUACCUUCAAUAGCUUGAUUUUCAUCUUAGGUUUGUUGUGUUUGAAUUGAAGUGGAUUGAACAGUGUAACACAUGAAAAAUCGAUCAAAUUGAAUUCAAAAUUUUAAGAAGCCCUCUUCCCUGCUAGUCGACUGAAACUCAAAAUUUCAUCUAAGGUUUGUUGGGUUUUUGUUCUCUUUUUUGUUUAAUUACUACCUUCAAUAGCUUGAUUUUCAUCUUAGGUUUGUUGUGUUUGAAUUGAAGUGGACUGAACUGUGUAAUCUAUGUAAAAUCGAUAAAAUUGAUUUCAAAAUUAAAAAAAGCCCUCUUCCCUGCUAGUCGACUGAAACUCAAAAUAUCAUCUCAGGUUUGUUGGGUUUUUUUUUUUCUCUUAAGCUAUUUAAUUACUACAUUCAAUAGCUUGAUUUUCAUCUUAGGUUUGUUGUGUUUGAAUUGAAGUGGACUGAACUGUGUAAUCUGUGUAAAAUCGAUCAAAUUGAACUGAAUAAAAUGAUAAUGGAUCUCAAUGUGCAUGCCCACUUGUAAAUAUUCCAUCAAGCUCAAAUGCAUAUUCUCCCUUGGUUGUUACAAUUUGAAGAAGUAAAUUCUGUGAGUGGGGCUUUACUAGUGGAUAGUGUUUCAUGUUUUAAAUAAGUUGACAGUUUAUUCAUGUUAAUUUGCUUGGAUUCUUGUGGUGGUCUCAGUUUUCCCUCACCACAUUUUUCAACAGUUCUUAUUCACUUUUGAUGGAUAUGAAUCUUUUAGAAUGCUGUAACUUGGGAGUAAAAGGAUAAUAUCUGUUUUGUGUUGUUUGAGAAACAUGUAUCACUUGUAAUUGUUAGUUUUUUAUUUUUUUUAUUAGUUGGUUGAUAUUUACAAUCCAAUCAUUAGUAUUGAUGAAUAUUAAAUACUAUUACUAAUUUUAUCUGUUUUCACAUUUGAUUUUCUUCAACAAUGACGGUUAAGUAUGCUAUCCAAUACCAUUGGAGUUGGAAGACGGUUGUUAAAAUUGUCGACCCAAACAUAUUUGGACACUUGGACAUGGUGUAUGACAUCUACAAUGAACUCAUCACACAUGUCCCUGUGGGUCACAAUGUAGUUUUCAAAGUAAAAUGCAUACUACCAAACAAUGAGAUAAGGGAGGUAACAGAUGAUCCAUCAGUGUAUGAAUUGUUUGGUUUGUAUAGUUAUGAUAUGAUAAAUAUGUAUGUAGAUGACAUUGUUCACAACAAGUCUGCAACAAAUGAAGUUAUAGUCAACUAGUUCCCUAGCAGUCUAGUUAAUGAUAGAGAUGGUGAACUUGAUGAUGAACCUGCUGGAUAAUGUCAAUAGCCUCUAUAACCAUAUAGUGCUGGUUUUGGUCAGAGUAGAGGGAAAAUUGUUAUAUGUGGGACUGCUACUAGUGCUAAUAGUAGUGACAGUGGAAGUGGAAGUGCUAUUGCUUGUACUACAACUAUUGUUAGGGGAGGUAAAGGUACCAUGACUAUUGCAAAGUGUAGGAGCACUGCUACUUCUAAUGGAAGAACUAGUAGCAGAAGUGAAGCUAUUGGUAAGAAAUUGAGAGGGUCUGAUGAGGUUGUCAGGGCUGUUAGCAAGAGCAAUGUAUGUUCGGAUGACUCUAUGGUUGAAUCUGAUGAAGAUUGAAAAAUGGGCAACGAAGAAGUGUGGGAUGAUGAAAGUGAAAGAGAAGAUGGUCAGAAUGGCAGUGAAGCUACAUAGGCUGAGGAUGAUGGGUGUGGGAAAAAUGCUAAGGAUUCUAUUGAUGAUGUCCUAUCUGGAUAUGAAUCUGAAGAGUGUUAUAGUAAAAUUGGUGAACAGAACUAUGUGGGUGAAAGUGGCAAAGUGAAGUUAGCUGAAGGUAAUAUGUAUGGAAGUGUACACCAAUUUAGGGAAGCUUUGAGAGAGCACAUACUGUAAGAGGGGUUUGAUAUUAUCAUACUGAAAAAUGAACAAGCUAGAGUUACAGUUAUAUGCAGAGCACCAAACUGAUUAUGGAGAUUACAUGCUUCACCACUAUCAGAUGGUGUCACCUUCAUGAUAAAGAUGUAUAACCCAAUUCAUACAUGUAUUAAUGCAAUCAAGAAUAAGUCUGCUACAUGUAGAUGGAUAGCAACGAAAAUUCUUCAACAGUUAAGGGUUGAGCCAUAAAUGAACAUAGAGACCAUGGUUGAUCAUAUGCAGAAAACAUAUAGUUUUCAGUUCAACUACACCAAGCUGUAUAAGGCAUGCAAGAUUACCCAAGAAAUUAAUGAAGGAAGCCAUUCCAAGUCGUAUGCAAAAUUACUUGCUUCUGAUAGGUUUGUACUUGAGAAGGAUGAUGGAAGUAUUUUUAAGCUUCAGUUUGAGACCGGGAAUCGUAUGUCAGAUAAUCCGAUUUUUAAAAGAUUGUUCAUUUGUUUUGAUGUUUGCAAGAAGGGUUUCUUGAGAGGAUGUAGACCAUUCAUUGGUCUUGAUGGCUGCCACCUCAAUGGCAUAUAUGGAGGAGUUCUGUUGAGUGCAAUAUCUGUUGAUGAGAAUAAUGGUGUUUUUCCUAUUGCAUAUGGUGUAGUUGAAGUUGAGCGUAAGAGCAGCUGAAUGUGGUUUUUGAAUAAUUUACGAGAUGUUUUACUAGAUGAAAGUGAUGAUAUGUCACUCACAUUAAUGUCAGACAGACAAAAGGUAUAUGUAUAUAUAUAUAUAUAUAUAUUUAAUCUUUGUGUAAUCAAAUCUGUAUUUCGUAAUUACUCAUUUUUAUGUCCUAUCAUUUUCCUUAUGUGUUGUGUAGGGACUGUCAGAUGUAAUUUUCACAGUCUUCCCUUAUGCUCACUAAAGAAUUUGCAGUAGGAAUUUAUAUCAAAACCUAAAGGCAAGGCACUCUGGUAUGCUAUUGACACUACAUUUUUGGGCAGCCUCACAAGUUUUAACUAAACAUCAGUUUCAAAAGAAAAUGAAUAGCAUCAAUGAGAUUAAUGAGAUUAAAGAGAAGAUAUAUUUGUAUUUGAAUAAAAACCCUCGAGGAUGUGGUCAAGGUAUGCCUUUGAUGUAGGAACAAGGAGUGAUCAUAUCAUGAACAAUAUGACUGAGUCAUUUAAUCAAUGAGUUGAGACUUAAGGGGCAAACCCAUUCUCACAUUGGUUGAUCAGCUAAGGAUGAAACUAAUGGGUAGAUUACAUAGGAGUAUGAGAAGGCAUCCAUGUAGGAGGGUAAAGUAACAUCAAGGGUUAUGGUGAAGUUGAACAAGGUUCAACAAAAACAAGGCAAUGUAGGUGUCAACUAGCUUGUGAAGGUCAAUUUGAGGUAUUAGAUAAAUUUGAAAAUAGAUUUGUGGUUAAUCUGAAAGAUUACAAAUGUGAUUGUAAAGCUUGGGAAACUACUAGUAUACACUGUCUCCAUGAUGCAGCUUCUAUAUCAUACAUAAGGGGAGAGUUGAUCAACUACUGUGAUCCAUUUUUCACUAUUGGAAAAUACAUGGAGACAUACAAACAUAUGAUUCAUCCACUUUCAGAUCUGGAAGGGUUGAAGGAUGAUGUUCCUAAUGAGAGAGUACUACCACCAAACCUAAAGAGGUUACUAGGUAUACCUCACAAACUCAUGAAAAGAGAACCAGGAGAAACACCUCCUUCAGACUUCAGGAAGAGAUCAUCAUCCAUUAGGUGUGACAUCUGCAAGAAGGAAGGACACAAUAAGAGGACAUGCCCAAGGGUUGUAGAUGCUGAGCAGGAUGGAUGUACUAGUAAAAAGAAGAGUAUGUAGAAGAAACAAAAAUGAGAGAGUCAAGAUGAGAUCAGCACAUCUCAACGAAUGACUAGAUCACAGACAUCUAUGGCUAGCACAAUUGGGUGUUUACAGGACAAGGUAUUGACCAAGCAAAAGACCAAUCGAGCAAAGAGGACAGCAAGGGAGUAGGGGAAGAAAUAAAGCACAAGCAAUUUGGAUGUUUUAAUUAAGCAGAAUAAAACAAUGAUGUGUUAAUUAACAUUUUUUGAGUUUAAGACAGUUGGGUGUUUCCUUAUGGUUUUGGAUGUGUUUGACGGAUUUACUUUUUAGGAUUAUUUUUAUUUCAUACUAGACAUGGUUAUAUGGAAUACGUUAUGAACUGGUAUUCAUGGAUAUGUUUUGGAUGUUUCCUUAUAGUUCUGAUUGUAAUGAAAUAUAUUGGUUUCAAUUGUGUAAUGUUACAAGUAUUUAAUUAA